GUAGGUGGCAAGCGUUGUCCGGAAUUAUUGGGCGUAAAGCGCGCGCAGGCGGUCCUUUAAGUCUGAUGUGAAAGCCCACGGCUCAACCGUGGAGGGUCAUUGGAAACUGGGGGACUUGAGUACAGAAGAGGAAAGCGGAAUUCCAAGUGUAGCGGUGAAAUGCGUAGAGAUUUGGAGGAACACCAGUGGCGAAGGCGGCUUUCUGGUCUGUAACUGACGCUGAGGCGCGAAAGCGUGGGGAGCAAACAGGGAUUAGAUACCCUGGUAGUCCGCGCCGUAAACGAUGAGUGCUAAGUGUUAGGGGGUUUCCCGCCCCUUAGUGCUGCAGCUAACGCAUUAAGCACUCCGCCUGGGGAUACGGCCGCAAGGCUG
rnacentral:rRNA from 1 species